UACGGAGGAUGCAAGCGUUAUCCGGAGUUACUGGGCGUAAAGGGCGUGUAGGCGGUAUGUUAAGUCUGGCGUGAAAGCUCUCGGCUAAACCGGGAGAGGUCGUUGGAUACUGGCACACUAGAGGAUGGUAGAGGCGUGUGGAAUUCCGGGUGUAGUGGUGAAAUGCGUAGAGAUCCGGAGGAACACCAGUGGCGAAGGCGACACGCUGGGCCAUACCUGACGCUAAAGCGCGACAGCAUGGGGAGCAAACGGG
rnacentral:rRNA from 1 species